rnacentral:ribozyme from 1 species
GGUGUGCGAUAGACUUACCUCCACGUGGUGCACACGGGGCAACGUAUAUUCAUGCGGCAAAAACGUCUAU